rnacentral:lncRNA from 1 species
UUUUUUUAACUCGCAUCACCGUCGGUUCUUGGUCUGGCGGUGAUAGGGUUCCCAUCAUUGUCGCCUUCUAUGCGACGGAUCCGAAACCAGCGGUGAUGAUGGGUUUGGAGCUGGCGGUGAUGAAGGGAUGUGGAGUAGUGAUAUAGUAUCCAUGCCAACUGUAUUUUUAAUCUAGUACAGCCAAGAAGAGAUUGGCGCCUCGCAGCUACAAGGUGCUCCCACCUCAACACAAGUCCACCACCGAAGAGGUAGGCACGGGCACAGGAUCACUUAGAUGUCAGCAC